UGCCAAUCUAGGAUGAACACAGCUUUUCUAAGGUAACUUUCUACGUUCCUUGAGAUAUAUCUCCACAUGUCUUCGUAGUCAGGCACAGAAAGCAAUUAUUUCUGGCCUCCCCUCUCCUUUAAAAGAAUUCUUUUUUUUUUCCCUUCAGGGAAUAAAAUAAUCAUUGUGUGAAAACCAGAUGAUUCACAGGGUCACAAAUUAUGAGUCUGAAGUCUCCAUAUGAACAGCCAGGAGCCAAAAAAAAUCGCCCAAUGAGAGCAGUCCAAAUCCCAGGGGAAAUUACAUAAUGAUUUUAAUCGAUUGAAUUUUUUAAGUGGUUUCUCUCCUGGCAUCUUGCCACCCUUGAGAUUCUGCUGCACUCUCACCUCAGAGACCUCUGUGGUCUCUCUACUCAGGAGCUGUCCACAGAGUCCAUAGACACAGACUCACCACUGGAUUGUGACAGUUUCAAAUACUUUUAAGGAGCAUGAAAGGGUCACUUAUCAUUUGGGGGUGGGGCCUCUCAAAUGGAUGUUAAAACCAGUCAAUCAGUAAACUACAGUUUUGUGGAAGUCUCUGUUUUUUGGUUUACUGUUUUCUGUCAGCUCCCUAGACAAAUCUAAGUCAGGAGAAAGAGAUUCAUCAAUUGUUGGUGUAAUUGAUAAACAUGUUAAAUCUGUUACAGUAAUUGAAGUUAAAGGUUGAAUUUCAUCUCAGAAGUUUUUGUUCUGGCUUAUGUAGUACCCAAUGGCUAGAAAAACUAUCAUGUUUUAUGAAUUAGAGUUUCAGAAUUAAAGUUUCUAAACACUAAUACUUUUUAGCUGAACUGCCACCUAAAUGUAUUCAUCACUAAAGAGCAAAUUCUGUAAGUGGAAUUCUGUUUAGAAGUUUUUAUUUAAAUUUAAUGUUGGACCUUUUCAAUUUAAAACUCUGUUGGCAGUGAAAUCAGAGUGUGAGAUAUGCUUAAAUCUACGCUUUGUAAUAAAUAUAAAAAUAUAAAAUGCAUAGUUUCUAUAAUGGAAAUGUGCUUCAAGUUCAGGAUUUUUCUUUUACGAGUCUUUUUUUCUAAAGCACUUCUAAAUCUUUCCUAAGGCAUAUUCUGAUAUGUAUAUUUGAUUUUUAAAAUGUUCAUCUAUGCCUUGCUUAAAAUAGAAUAUAAUGGAAAAACUAUAACUGUAUAACACCUAAUCUUCAAAGGUAACUGUUGCUACCUCAUGCCCUGACCCCUGAUACAAGGAUAAAAUUCCCAUUGAGUUGAACCACUCACGGUGAUUGGUUCCUGAGAAGAGGCUUAGUCUCUAUGGAGACCACACUGCAGUGGCUAAACCCUUCCCUUGCAUUGAGACCUCUUUACCUGUGACAUCAUCCUUGGCGCUCACUGGGUUAUUUAAAGAGGCUUGCAGUUCCUUAAGAGGAAAACUGUUGGCAUUCUCUGGCAGUGUGUAUAUCUACCAGUGUUUAUAAUGUUGAGAUUUUCUAUACAUGAGCACUCCUAGUCAUUUGUUAUAAUGAAGAAUCCAGGCACCUCUUAAAUAAGAAAUGGUACAUAGUACAUUUUAGAGUCCUGUGGGAUCCACAGACUAUGUGUUCUUACUUCUGAAAAUGGCAUUGUUUGUUCCUUUUCAUUAUUUAUAUUCAUAUGUUUCUCUGGCAAAUAUAAAAAUCUUCAAGGUAAAAAAAAUGCUUUCC
rnacentral:lncRNA from 1 species